rnacentral:tRNA from 1 species
UUAACAGAAACCAAAAAAGAGGUAAUUUAUUGUUAAUAAAUCAAAUGAAUUAAAUUUAAAUUCCUGUUAAU